rnacentral:rRNA from 1 species
GCAGUCUCAGUUCGGAUUGAAGGCUGAAAUUCGCCUUCAUGAAGCCGGAAUUGCUAGUAAUGGCAGGUCAGCAUACUGCCGUGAAUACGUUCCCGGGCCUUGUACACACCGCCCGUCACACCAUGAGAGUUGGGGAUACCCGAAGCCUGUGAGCUAACAGUAAUGAAGCAGCAGUCGAAGGUAGAAUCAAUGAUUGGGGUGAAGUCGUAACAAGGUAAC